rnacentral:tRNA from 1 species
GGGUAUGUAGCUCAGUGGUACAGUGCUUGCCUAGGAUGCACGAGGCUCUGGGUUUGAUCCCCAGCAUUUUGA